ACCAAGUCUGAAAAACAUCAGCAAGGCUUAUAAGUGAAGCAAUGAAUGCUAUCCCUGUGGCCAAAGAACUUCAGUCAGAAGUACACGAACUGUUGAAACUGUUUUUCACGACCCCAGUCACUUCAGCAUCAGCUGUAAGAUCUUUCUCAACACUUCGCCGUAUCAAAACAUACCUGCGUUCAACCAUGCCACAGAGAAGGCUAAAUGACUUGAUAUACAACAUACGCCAGGAUGUUCUGGCACAAGUGGACAUGACUGCUGUUGCAAAGGAAUUCAUCCAGCUAAAUGAGCAACGCAGACUGGUCUUCGGGAGGUUCAAGGACCACUGACGGUCCCUAAGGCAGAGCUGGAGGACAUGUUGAGAGAACGACAUCUGAGCUACCUUGCUUAAACCGCUGCUCUUCAAAAAGGACAGAUCUGGAUGUACUGCAGAAAGUGAAUGAAUGAAUGAAUGGAAGGAAGGAAGGAAGUUUCCAGGCAGGAAAUGAUGCAAGCUCCACUGAAUUACAUAGGGUGUGAGACCAAUAAAAUGGGGCCUAUUCUUGUCACAGCUUCAGAUGAGGACCGGCUUCUGGAUGCAUUGCAGCAAUUACUGCAGGCCUGCGCUCCACGGCUGUGGAAUUGGGAAAUGAUCAUCUGUGAAGCACAGCAGAGUACCAUCGCCUCCAGCACAAUAACUCAACAUGUCCACUUGGCUAUGUCAGCUCUGCAUGGAGAGAAUGGAAGGAAUACAAAGAAGGAAAGAGAAGAUUAGAAAGAGGUGAAGAAGAGGAAGAGAAUAUUACUGUAAAAAACCUCAUGUUUAACCCCUUCGGACACUGUGUCCAUUGGAAUGGAACUAUUAAAAACACGAGUUACCAAAAAUGUGUUUUUUUCCACUUUGUUUUUAUGUUGGAGUUGAGUCAGAAUCAGUUAAAAAAACGUUUUGCCCAGUGAAAGAAAAUGUGGGUCUGUAAGGGUUAAUAACGUGUGAAUUACAAGUCUAGUAAAAAGCACCCAAUGAUUAGUAUCAUUACUUUGAUGUCAGCCCCUUUUCAGAAUGAAAUGAAUGAAAUCUGCAAAACCGCCGCUCUGAUAAAUAAUUAUGUGUGUAUCAUAUCAAUGUUGCUGUGAUAUAAGUCAUGGUCCAUUUAGACCACGAGUGUAAGUGUAUGAGCUGCCGUUAUAAGGAGAAGGUGGGGUGGGUGGUGCUGUGACAACGAGGCAAGACGGGUGGCAGAGAGAGAGAGACCACUGUUCAAGGUCACUCCAACCAGCAAAAAUGGGUAAUUUAAGUUCCUCUCAGGACAUUUUGCAGCUACAAAAACAGGUUUUUUUAAAUGAGAAAUUGGGUCUGUGCUCUGUCACAUGUCUACGUUGGCGACUUGUAUUGCAUUAUGAAAACUAAUGAUGAAAAAGACAGGAAUUGGGUCGGUUUACACUCAGGUUUGUGUUGGCAGAGCUGGAUAUGUGAAGUUAUAUUUUCCUAACCCUAACUGAGUCUUCUUUGUGCCUAAGCCUAAACCUAACCAGACAAAAGCACAGCAUUGACACAACAUGAAACAAAAAUAAAUUGUUAACAUAUUUUUGGUUGCCAAUGCCAACAUUAAUUCUAGAGGUUAGGUUAUUUAAUGUGCAUAACUUAAUUACAGGAGAUAUACAUGAAUACCCCUGCUAAAAAGGGAAGCAAAAGAAUAUAUAUUUUGUACAUCAUAUUUUCACAUUGUGUUCCCUAAAAUCAGGUCUUGUUCCUUGUAAAACUUUACCAUCAAAAAAUAAUGAGAAAUAAAAUAAUGAGAAAUCAGCGCUGCACUCUGUGGAGUCAGAAUUGACUGGACUCCCUUAAUGGAUGGACAGUAAGCACCUGAGUGGGAGUAAUGCACUGCAUAAAAUCGUUUCCCGAACCAGGAUGAGGCUGAGGUGAA